GAGGGUGUGGCUCAGUGGUAGAGCGCAUGCUUAGCAUGCCCGAGGCCCUGAGUUCAACCCCCAGUACUUCCA
rnacentral:tRNA from 1 species